rnacentral:rRNA from 1 species
GCAUAUCAAUAAGCGGAGGAAAAGAAACUAACAAGGAUUCCCCUAGUAACGGCGAGUGAAGCGGGAAGAGCUCAAAUUUGUAAUCUGGCACUUUCAGUGUCCGAGUUGUAAUCUCGAGAAGUGUUUUCCGCGCCGGACUGCAUACAAGUCUGUUGGAAUACAGCGUCAUAGUGGUGAGAACCCCGUAACUGAUGCAGAUGCCCGGUGCUUUGUGAUACACUUUCGAAGAGUCGAGUUGUUUGGGAAUGCAGCUCAAAUUGGGUGGUAAAUUCCAUCUAAAGCUAAAUAUUGGCGAGAGACCGAUAGCGAACAAGUACCGUGAGGGAAAGAUGAAAAGCACUUUGGAAAGAGAGUUAACAGUACGUGAAAUUGUUGGAAGGGAAACGAUUGAAGUCAGACUUGUUAUCUGGAGUUCAGCCUUUCGGUGUACUCUCCAGUUUACAGGCCAGCAUCAGUUUUCGGGGCGGGAAAAUCGUAAUUUGAAGGUAGCAGCCUAGCUGUGUUAUAGCUUUUUACUGGAUUCCGCUUUGGGGACUGAGGAACGCAGUGUGCUUUUAGCAAUACCCUCGGGUAUUUCACACUUAGGAUGCUGGUGGAAUGGCUUUAAACGACCCGUCUUGAAACACGGACCAAGGAGUCUAACAUGCUUGCGAGUAUUUGGGUGUCAAACCCGGAUGCGCAAUGAAAGUGAAUGAAGGUGGGAUCCGCAAGGUGCACCAUCGACCGAUCUGGAUUUUUUAAGAUGGAUUUGAGUAAGAGCAAUUAUGUUGGGACCCGAAAGAUGGUGAACUAUGCCUGAAUAGGGCGAAGCCAGAGGAAACUCUGGUGGAGGCUCGUAGCGGUUCUGACGUGCAAAUCGAUCGUCAAAUUUGGGUAUAGGGGCGAAAGACUAAUCGAACCAUCUAGUAGCUGGUUCCUGCCGAGUUU